rnacentral:lncRNA from 1 species
GGGCAGUUGUGUACGCUCCCAUGGUUUGCGGCCUAUCUUCUCCACUACGCACGGUUACUAUGAAACUGGGAACGUGGGUAGACAGUUAAAUUACACUGCACUUAUAAAAACCCUCACCUUAUCUCGUGGUCUCCUCAUUCCGUAGAAACCGUCAUCCUUGUAUGAGAAUUUCAGGUGCAAUCGCCAAUCGAGGAGGUUUUUGGCAGUUCAAGGAUAUCCGCUCCAUUCCCCAUCACAGUGGCACCGGAUUCUCAAAAAGAAAAAAUCCAGUCCAAGUUCAGAGCUAUGGUUAGGGUUACACCACAGUUGAAAGUUAAAGGAAGGUGAUUGGAACCUUUGUAAUCAACCGAUUAAUGUAAAUCAUGGACCUUUCGAAGAUUGAAGAGAAUUUGUUCUCAUUUGGUGAACCAAAGAAUGUAAAUCGUCUCGUAUUUUGA